CAAUAGCAUAUAUUAACGUUGUUGCAGUUGAAAAGCUCGUAGUUGAACUUUUGGUAGGAGCGACCUGGCCUUGGGCGCAUGCCCUUGUUUGCCGUGUGUCGUAUCUGGCCAUCCUUUUCCUCUUCGGAAGGAAUCCUUUACUGUGAGUAAACUGGAGUGCUCAAAACAAGACGUUUGUUUGGUACAUUAAAGCAUGGAAUAAUAAGAUAGGACCUGGUUACUAUUUUGUUGGUUUGCAUAGCUAGGUAAUGAUUAACAGGGACAGUUGGGGGUAUUCGUAUUUAAUUGUCAGAGGUGAAAUUCUUGGAUUUAUGAAAGACGAACGACUGCGAAAGCAUUUACCAAGGAUGUUUUCAUUAA
rnacentral:rRNA from 1 species